AUUGAACGCUGGCGGCAGGCCUAACACAUGCAAGUCGAGCGCGAAAGGCUUUCGGGCUGAGUAGAGCGGCGGACGGGUGAGUAACGCGUAGGAAUCUACCUGGUAGUGGGGGACAACUUGUGGAAACGCAAGCUAAUACCGCAUACGCCCUAUGGGGGAAAGCGGGGGACCUUCGGGCCUCGCGCUAUCGGAUGAGCCUGCGUAGGAUUAGCUAGUUGGUAGGGUAAUGGCCUACCAAGGCACCGAUCGGUAGCCGGCCUGAGAGGGUGAACGGCCACAUUGGGACUGAGACACGGCCCAGACUCCUACGGGAGGCAGCAGUGGGGAAUUUUGGGCAAUGGGGGAAACCCUGACCCAGCGACGCCGCGUGGAGGAUGAAGGCCUUCGGGUUGUAAACUCCUGUCAGGUGGGAAGAAACGCUUCGUG
rnacentral:rRNA from 1 species